rnacentral:lncRNA from 1 species
UAAAUUCGUAGUGGAUUAUCUUGUGAUUGAAUCUCCUUAACACCAAGUUUUGAGAUGGGGAGCUGAUCAUUUGACUGAGACUCUUUAGAGUAUUGAAUCCAAAGUGGAUUAUCCUGUGAUUGAAUCUCUUUAACACCAAGGUUUGAGAUGGGGAGUUGAUCAUUUGACUCAGACUCUUUAGUGUAUUGAAUCCAAAGUGGAUUAUCAUGUGAUUGAAUCUCCUUAACACCAAGGUUUGAGAUGGGGAGCUGAUCAUUUGACUGAGACUCUUUAGUGUAUUGAAUCCAAAGUGGAUUAUCCUGUGAUUGAAUCUCCUUAACACCAAGGUUUGAGAUGGGGAGUUGAUCUUUUGAUUGAGACUCUUUAGUGUAUUGAAUCCAAAGUGGAUUAUCCUAUGAUUGAAUCUCCUUAACACCAAGGUUUGAGAUGGGGUGCCGAUCAUUUGACUGAGACUCUUUAGUGUAUUGAAUCCAAAGUGGAUUGUCCUGUGAUUGAAUCUCCUUAACACCAAGGUUUGAGAUGGGGAGCUGAUGAUUUGACUGAGACUCUUUAGUGUAUUGAAUCCAAAGUGGAUUAUCUUGUGAUUGAAUCUCCUUAACACCAAGGUUUGAGAUGGGGAGCUGAUCAUUUGACUGAGACUCUUUGGUGUAUUGAAUCCAAAGUGGAUUAUCUUGUGAUUGAAUCUCUUUAACACCAAGGUUUGAGAUGGAGAGUUGAUCUUUUGACUGAGACUUUUUAGUGUAUUGAAUCCAAAGUGGAUUAUCCUGUGAUUGAAUCUCCUUAGCACCAAGGUUUGAGAUGGGGAGUUGAUCAUUUGACUGAGACUCUUUAGUGUAUUGAAUCCAAAGUGGAUUAUCAUGUGAUUGAAUCUCCUUAACACCAAGGUUUGAGAUGAGGAGUUGAUCUUUUGACUGAGACUCUUUAGUGUAUUGAAUCCAAAGUGGAUUAUCCUGUGAUUGAAUCUCUUUAACACCAAGGUUUGAGAUGGGGAGUUGAUCAUUUGAUUGGGCCUCUUUAGUGUAUUGAAUCCAAAGUGGAUUAUCUUGUGAUGAAAUCUCCUUCGAGAUUUUAUCUUUUGAUUGAGUAUAGGUAUCAACACACGUCUCAAUGCUCACAUCUCCUCCUGCACGUUCGUUAAAGAUAUAGUUAUUUUCAAAGCAAAUUAUGUUUGCAACGGUUCAAAAUGACUUUAAUUGACCGAAUGCUUAAAUAUAGAUUAACAUUUUUUUCUUUUCCUUUACCAUAAGUUUUGAAAGUUGCCUUCUUUAGAAAUUAGAGUUAAAAGCAUAUGAAAUGAGAGUUUAUUAAAGAAUUCACAUAUAAGAAGUUAAUGAAUAAGAAUUUACUAAAUCAACGCAAUUUAGUAAACACCUAUUCAUUAAGUUCUGAUUUGUAUGAAUUCCCUCAUAAACACUCAUGUCAUUUGCUUUUGGGAAACGUCAUCAUGGAUAUAUAUAUAUAUAUAUAUAUAUGUGU